AACCCGCCGCAGCGGCGCGCCCUGGCAGAGCGCUUCCCCUUCCGGCAGGAAGCCGCGGAGCAGGUUUGGGGUCGCAGUUUAAGGAAGGACUGCGCUCUGUUUCCGCCGGUUUUAUCUCAAAGAAACUUCCGGUGGCAGAGUCUUCUGCGCUCUACCUUCUGUUUGUUGGGUUCCAACAAGAUGUGAACGCGAGUUGAUCAAAUUCCGCAGAGUAUUCUUUUCUCUCCUCGUGGUAGAUUGGCCGGUAGGAGAAGAGGCCCGGUUGGAAGCGGCCCUGAGCCGGGCCUUACGUCGUGCUCUGCCUAUAAAAGACAAUUCUCUCGCUGGCGGAGGGCAAGAACUCCCUCCCAGUCACACCGCCUCGUUCAUUUCGUUCAUCUCUGUCGCACUGUCCUCUGACCCGCUUGUGUCCUUACAUCAAACCGAGGACCCUGCAGGAGUUUUAAGUGCCGAGCACGUUUCAAGCCUCUGCCCCUGAGAUUAAUAUGACGGUACAACCAGGUUGCAUUGUUUGCGUUUGCUGGGUAUCGUCUCUGUUAUAGUAGUGCCGGUCACCCAGGUGUGCCAUAUACCCUUACGCCUAUGAGGUGAAACACACCAGUCACCCUUCCUCUUCCUUCCUCACCCCUAACUUGAAUGGAAUUAAAUUGAGUUUUUCUCUUGUUUGGGCA